rnacentral:rRNA from 1 species
GACGAACGCUGGCGGCGUGCUUAACACAUGCAAGUCGAACGAGGUUCAUGGAGCUUGCUCCGGAAGACCUAGUGGCGAACGGGUGCGUAACACGUGAGAAACCUGCCCUGGACUUGGGAAUAACAGUCGGAAACGACUGCUAAUACCGAAUACCUUCACACCAUCGCAUGGUGAAGUGAAGGAAGCUUUUGCGGUUCAGGAGGGUCUCGCGGCCUAUCAGCUUGUUGGUGAGGUAACGGCUCACCAAGGCAUCGACGGGUAGCUGGUCUGAAAGGAUGAUCAGCCACACUGGGACUGAGACACGGCCCAGACUCCUACGGGAGGCAGCAGUGGGGAAUAUUGCACAAUGGGCGAAAGCCUGAUGCAGCAACGCGCGUGCGGGAAGAAGGCCCUAGGGUUGUAAACCGCUUUCAGCGGGAAGAAAAGUGACGUCCUGCAGAAGAAGGUGCGGCCAACUACGUGCCAGCA